rnacentral:lncRNA from 1 species
AUGACUCACCACUACUGCCCCAUAUUCAUAGUCUCGGCAAAUGAGCGAGGAGAGCCCCAUGUGGGAUUACAGACUUGCUGGGAAUGGAUGAGAAACCUUCUGCUCUGCUGGAGUUUGAGAAAGAAGAUGGUAGGAGUGGGCUGGGAUCUUAAAGAAUUGAGAAGAUUAAAGAAGCGAAGUCAGGUUAUAGGUCAAGGAAUGGUGCAUGAUGCUUACCUCAUGAAGGGAAGGAGAAAAGAGGAAGGGAAUGCAAGUCCAGAACCAGGUGCUGGAGGCCAAAUUUCUGCUUCUGCAGUGAAGGCCAGAAGAAGAAAGAAAAGUAGAAAAGUUCUUUAAAGAGUCUGACCCCAGGUGAACCAGCUGCCUUUAAACAGAUUUCUCAGAAGUCUCAUAUCGCAAAUCUACAUUUUGUUGGCUGCAGCAUGAUCACAUAUAAGCGAGGCAGAGAAGUCAGACUUUUAUUCUUUGUGUCAACCUGCCUACCUAAAAAUUAGGGUUCCUAUAGUAAGAAGAAAGAAGAUAACUGAUAGCCUCCACCUAUUUCUGGAACAAUGUAAUGGUUGCUGUGUAACAUAUAACAUGGAUAUAUUCUAUUGUGCAGAAGUCUGAUUGAUACAGAUGCUUUUGCUCCUCCAUGGCUAUAACAACUCUUUGACCUAGCACUGAACUCAGCACCUCACCAUAGGCCUUUAUCUUUACAAAAGGGCCGAGCUGGCGCAUCACACUCUAUCUAGUGCCUCUACGUUCUCCCCAGGAUCAAGCAAUGGGAAUUUAUAUGUACAGUGCAUCAAAUGUGAUUCAGCUACCCUGAUGACUAACCAUUUUAGGCUGAACUGAGAGCACUACAGCUCUCUAAGUUUCCUGAAUCUUAUCCCAAUUAUAUUUCGUUUAAUAACACUCAGUGAAAUAUCUGGUGGCAGGGGAAAUGAAACUACAUGCUUUUUAUGGGAUCAUUCAUCAAGAACUAAUUGAAGCGUUCAUACAGUUUAGUGCUGAUAAAACAGUGUAACAAUAAACAAUAACAAAAUUCACUGGAGAAGGAUUUG